rnacentral:rRNA from 1 species
GAUGAACGCUAGCGGCAGGCUUAAUACAUGCAAGUCGAGGGGCAGCAUGACUGUAGCAAUACAGUUGAUGGCGACCGGCAAACGGGUGCGGAACACGUACAGAACCUUCCUUCGAGCGGGGAAUAGCCCAGAGAAAUUUGGAUUAAUACCCCAUAGCAUAUUGAUGAGGCAUCUCAUUAAUAUUAAAGAUUUAUCACUUGAAGAUGGCUGUGCGGCUGAUUAGGUAGUUGGCGGGGUAACGGCCCACCAAGCCUUCGAUCAGUAACUGGUGUGAGAGCACGACCAGUCACACGGGCACUGAGACACGGGCCCGACUCCUACGGGAGGCAGCAGUAAGGAAUAUUGGUCAAUGGACGAAAGUCUGAACCAGCCAUGCCGCGUGAAGGAUGACGGCCCUCUGGGUUGUAAACUUCUUUUGGAUGGGGCGAAAAAACGGGAUUUAUCCUGGACUGACGGUACCAUCAGAAUAAGCACCGGCUAACUCCGUGCCAG